CCCUUAGAUGUUCUGGGCCGCACGCGCGCUACACUGAUGCAUUCAACGAGUCUAAAACCUGCUCUGAUAGGGGUGGGUAAUCUUUUGAAUGUGCAUCGUGAUUGGGAUAGAUGAUUGCAAUUUUUCAUCUUCAACGAGGAAUGCCUAGUAAACGCAAGUCAUCAGCUUGCAUUGAUUACGUCCCUGCCCUUUGUACACACCGCCCGUCGCUCCUACCGAUUGAAUGAUCCGAUGAAUAUCAUGGACUGAGGAUGCAAGCAGGUUCGCCUGUCUUCAUCUUCGAGAAGUGAAGUAAAUCUUAUCAUUUAGAGGAAGGAGAAGUCGUAACA
rnacentral:rRNA from 1 species